rnacentral:rRNA from 1 species
GGAGCGCCCCCCCUCCCCCGUCCGCGGGGGAAGGGGCGGCCGCGCCCCACACGUUACGUGUCAAAAACGACUCUCGGCAACGGAUAUCUCGGCUCUCGCAUCGAUGAAGAACGUAGCGAAAUGCGAUACUUGGUGUGAAUUGCAGAAUCCCGUGAACCAUCGAGUCUUUGAACGCAAGUUGCGCCCGAAGCCCUCGGGCCGAGGGCACGCCUGCCUGGGCGUCACGCAUCGCGUCGCCCCCCCCGACCCUCGGGUCGGCGCGGGGGCGGAGGAUGGCCUCCCGUGCGCGGAACCGUCGCGCGGCCGGCCCAAACGCGAUCCCCCGGCGGCGCCCGUCGCGACCAGUGGUGGUUGAACCGAACGCUCAACUCUCGUGCUGUCAGUCGCGCGCGGCGUCGUCCGGACGGGAGACGACCCGAUCGGCGAUCCCCUCCUCGCGGGGAGGGGCGCCUCCGACCGCGACCCCAGGUCAGGCGGGAUCACCC